GGCAAGUUUCGCUUGUACUAAGCUCCAUAAUUAUCUUUAGUUGGGUCAGAGGAUGUGAAAUUGCUUUUGAGUUGACUUGUGUUUUUCUGAAAGUAGUCUAUAAAACUCAGAAGUAGCUAAUGAAUUUUUAUUAUGGAGUCUGAUGGUCUAUAUGAAACUUCAGAGUUCAAGCAGAUACUUUGGCAAUCUAUUUCAAGUUCAAUCAUGUGUCUUCAUCUAGCAUUUGAUAUACGUGAUUAGAAGAGGCACAUUUGCACUUCUGUUCGUAAGAUAUAUAUUUAUGUGCUCUCUUUAGUUCUGUUUAUUAAAAUAUGAGAAAAAUAGCUUAGUUGUUGAUUUUUGAAUGAGCCCAAUGCAAAAGAAGAAGAAGAAGAAGAAAA
rnacentral:misc_RNA from 1 species